ensembl:3prime_overlapping_ncRNA Gm29254 predicted gene 29254
AGAAGAAGCAGCGCCUGGGGGAGCAGAGGGAGCGCUCGGCGAGCCCGCAGCGCAGUGCGCGGCCCAGGCUGGAGGAGGUGCCCGGCGGCCAGGGGCGGCCCGAGGCCGGCAGGCCCGCCUCGGAGGCGGCCGACGGGAAGGAGGCGCUGCGCGGCCGGCGUGAGGGCCUCGGGGCCGCGGGCGCGCGGGAGGCCGAGGCCAAGAGGAGCAAGUUGCACCUGGGAGUGUCAUGGAGUUUGUGAUCCAAGAGAACAGUUCUCAACUGGUGCUGCAAGGACUUUUCCACAUUACACCAAUGAGAGACCUAAAAUUCCUAACCUGCCAAUCUUUCAUUUCAAUACUAUUUACUAUAUUAAAAAGCUCACACAUCAGUUUCAGAGAAGAGGGGCAGGAAGUAGGAAAUCAAGCACUAUUUGAGAUGGUGCAGUUUUGUCUUGUUUUUAAGGUUAACAUGGUUAAUUUACAUUUUUAAGAACCAGUGAACAAGAAGGCUCAAGCGCUACUCUGACAAGCCACCUGCAGGCUGCAGCUGCCUCCAGCCUACCAAUUUGCACCAACACCAGCCGAAGCCGAGGCAGGGAAGCUUGGAUGGAAGCAAUGUCUCCUGCAGACCCCAGGCAGGGAGUCCUGUGGCUCACCUGGAAAAGCUUCUGAAACUUUGGCUAGCACAAGGCUCUCCACCAGAAGCCAGCCCACCAUCCCCACAGCAGGGCAGGCUCCACCGGAAGCCAGCCCACCAUUCCCGCAGCAGGGCAGGUUUGCUGAAAUUCAGUCCAGUUGGCUGAUGCUUGUGUGGAUCUGAUUAUUAUUUGGAAGUUUAUAUUCUUAGUAAGUUUCCCUGAGUGUGUAAGUUCAUAUCCCAAUUUAUAUUUUUUCCACCCUU